rnacentral:rRNA from 1 species
UGUGAACUCGAAGAGUAGGGCGGGACACGUGGUAUCCUGUCUGAAUAUGGGGGGACCAUCCUCCAAGGCUAAAUACUCCUGACUGACCGAUAGUGAACCAGUACCGUGAGGGAAAGGCGAAAAGAACCCCGGCGAGGGGAGUGAAAAAGAACCUGAAACCGUGUACGUACAAGCAGUGGGAGCACCUUCGGGUGUGACUGCGUACCUUUUGUAUAAUGGGUCAGCGACUUAUAUUCUGUAGCAAGGUUAACCGUAUAGGGGAGCCGCAGGGAAACCGAGUCUUAACUGGGCGUUAAGUUGCAGGGUAUAGACCCGAAACCCGGUGAUCUAGCCAUGGGCAGGUUGAAGGUUGGGUAACACUAACUGGAGGACCGAACCGACUAAUGUUGAAAAAUUAGCGGAUGACUUGUGGCUGGGGGUGAAAGGCCAAUCAAACCGGGAGAUAGCUGGUUCUCCCCGAAAGCUAUUUAGGUAGCGCCUCGUGAAUUCAUCUUCGGGGGUAGAGCACUGUUUCGGCUAGGGGGUCAUCCCGACUUACCAACCCGAUGCAAACUACGAAUACCGAAGAAUGUUAUCACGGGAGACACACGGCGGGUGCUAACGUCCGUCGUGAAGAGGGAAACAACCCAGACCGCCAGCUAAGGUCCCAAAGUCAUGGUUAAGUGGGAAACGAUGUGGGAAGGCACAGACAGCCAGGAUGUUGGCUUAGAAGCAGCCAUCAUUUAAAGAAAGCGUAAUAGCUCACUGGUCGAGUCGGCCUGCGCGGAAGAUGUAACGGGGCUAAACCAUGCACCGAAGCUGCGGCAGCGACACUAUGUGUUGUUGGGUAGGGGAGCGUUCUGUAAGCCUGCGAAGGUGACCUGUGAGGGUUGCUGGAGGUAUCAGAAGUGCGAAUGCUGACAUAAGUAACGAUAAAGCGGGUGAAAAGCCCGCUCGCCGGAAGACCAAGGGUUCCUGUCCAACGUUAAUCGGGGCAGGGUGAGUCGACCCCUAAGGCGAGGCCGAAAGGCGUAGUCGAUGGGAAACAGGUUAAUAUUCCUGUACUUGGUGUUACUGCGAAGGGGGGACGGAGAAGGCUAUGUUAGCCGGGCGACGGUUGUCCCGGUUUAAGCAUGUAGGCUGAUUAUCCAGGCAAAUCCGGAUAAUCAAGGCUGAGGUGUGAUGACGAGGCACUACGGUGCUGAAGUAACAAAUGCCCUGCUUCCAGGAAAAGCCUCUAAGCAUCAGGUAACAUCAAAUCGUACCCCAAACCGACACAGGUGGUCAGGUAGAGAAUACCAAGGCGCUUGAGAGAACUCGGGUGAAGGAACUAGGCAAAAUGGUGCCGUAACUUCGGGAGAAGGCACGCUGGUGUGUAGGUGAAGCCCCUGCGGGUGGAGCUGAGACCAGUCGAAGAUACCAGCUGGCUGCAACUGUUUAUUAAAAACACAGCACUGUGCAAACACGAAAGU